GAUGAACGCUGGCGGCGUGCCUAACACAUGCAAGUCGAGCGAACAGACGAGGAUCUUUCUUCUCUUACGGUAGCGUCGGACGGGUGAGUAACACGUGGAUAACCUACCUAUAAGACUGGGAUAACUUCGGGAAACCGGAGCUAAUACCGGAUAAUCUAUUGAACCGCAUGGUUCAAUAGUUAAAGACGGUUUUGCUGCCACUUAUAGAUGGAUCCGUGCCGCAUUAGCUAGUUGGUAAGGUAACGGCUUACCAAGGCAACGAUGCGUAGCCGACCUGAGAGGGUGAUCGGCCACACUGGAACUGAGACACGGUCCAGACUCCGACGGGAGGCAGCAGUAGGGAAUCUUGCGCAAUGGGCGAAAGCCUGACGGAGCGACGCCGCGUGAGUGAUGAAGGUCUUCGGAUCGUAAAACUCUGUUAUUAGGGAAGAACAAAUGUGUAAGUAACUAUGCGCGUCUUGACGGUACCGAAACAGAAAGCCACGGCUAACUACGUG
rnacentral:rRNA from 1 species